rnacentral:rRNA from 1 species
AUGGGUCAUCCCCAAAUUGGCGUAUCAGAAACCUGUUCCCUCAAUUUGCUGUGCCGUUGCCGCCAACUGUUUUCGAUUUGCCAAGACAAGACUUUGUUGUCCCACGUAACAGCCAUGAAGGUCAAAAUUCUUCAGUGGCAUGCGGUGGCUUCUUGGACAUGGGACGCACAGGAUGAGACAUGUGGCAUAUGCAGGAUGGCUUUUGACGGCUGCUGCCCUGAUUGUAAGUUCCCUGGUGAUGAUUGCCCAAUCAUUUGGGGUGCCUGCAACCAUGCUUUCCAUCUUCACUGCAUACUCAAGUGGGUCAAUUCUCAAACAUCAACCCCCCUUUGCCCCAUGUGCCGUAGGGAGUGGCAAUUCAAGGGCUAA